GAUGAAGAACGUAGCAAAAUGCGAUACUUGGUGUGAAUUGCAGAAUCCCGUGAACCAUCGAGUUUUUGAACGCAAGUUGCGCCCGAAGCCUUUUGGCCGAGGGCACGUCUGCCUGGGCGUCACGCAUCGCGUCGCCCCCCACAAUUCUCCGUAAAAGGAACAUGUGUUUUGGGGGCGGAUAUUGGUCUCCCGUGCUCAUGGUGUGGUUGGCCGAAAUAGGAGUCCUUUCGAUGGACGCACGAACUAGUGGUGGUCGUAAAAACCCUCGUCUUUUGUUUCGUGCUGUUGCUCGCAAGGUAAACUCUUUAAAAACCCCAAUGUGUCGUCUCUUGACGACGCUUCGACCGCGACCCCAGGUCAGGCGGGACUACCCGCUGAGUUUAAGCAUAUCAAUAAGCGGAGGA
rnacentral:misc_RNA from 1 species